rnacentral:rRNA from 1 species
GAUGAACGCUGGCGGCGUGCCUAAUACAUGCAAGUCGAGCGAACAGAUGAGAAGCUUGCUUCUCUGAUGUUAGCGGCGGACGGGUGAGUAGCACGUGGGUAACCUACCUAUAAGACUGGGAUAACUCCGGGAAACCGGGGCUAACACCGGAUAAUAUUUUGAACCGCAUGGUUCAAUAGUGAAAGACGGUUUCGGCUGUCACUUAUAGAUGGACCCGCGCCGUAUUAGCUAGUUGGUAAGGUAACGGCUUACCAAGGCGACGAUACGUAGCCGAGCUGAGAGGGUGAUCGGCCACGCUGGAACUGAGACACGGUCCAGACUCCUACGGGAGGCAGCAGUAGGGAAUCUUCCGCAAUGGGCGAAAGCCUGACGGAGCAACGCCGCGUGAGUGAUGAAGGUCUUCGGAUCGUAAAACUCUGUUGUUAGGGAAGAACAAAUUUGUUAGUAACUGAACAAGUCUUGACGGUACCUAACCAGAAAGCCACGGCUAACUACGUGCCAGCCGCCGCUGUAA